rnacentral:lncRNA from 1 species
UUUCCUCUCUUUCAAUCCACCAAAUAAAAGAAACAAAAAAGAGAAGAAAAGAAGAAUAGGGAGGAGAGGGAGAUGAGAGAGGGGAAAAAAAAGAAAGAGAGAGCAUGGGGACGACUGGCACAGCGGAGGGAAGAAAAUAAAUUUGAGAGGCGACACUGCAGGUGGCCUAACCACUGUGUGAUCGCCUCUCGCACGUAAAUUCUUCUUUCGAACGUCCAAAUGUAAUUUCUUUUUCUUCUUCUUUCGUGAUUCUCUUCCUAAAUAGUUUAGAGUGACAUGCAUGAUAUUUAAAAUAAAUAAAUUUAGAUUUACUUGAUUUUAAAUAAAAAUUUAAACUUAAAUAAAGAGAUGGUGAGGGUUCAGUGUAGUAAGAGGGUGAUUAAAAUUAAGUUAUAUCCAUAUAUAUGUAUACAUAUUUAUCUAGGAUAUAUAUGGUGUGUAUAUAUGUAUAUAUAUUAUGAAUAUAAGGUACACAUAUAAAAACUAUAGUGAAUAUGUGAAAAUAUAUUUAUUUGCAUGAAUUUGAUGUAAAAUGUAUGAAGGGAAAAAUAUAUAUAUAUAUAGAUACACUAUGUAUGUAUAAUUUCAUGCAUGUAUAUAUAAAUAUAUAGAUAUGUACAUAUAACUAUGUACAAAUAAAUGCAUGUAUGGAUAUAUAUGAUUAAAAUAAUAUUUUAUAUGCAUGUAUAAUCCUCAUUUUUAAUAAGUAUUUAUAUAUGUAAACACUAAUGCACAAA